CACCGGGCUUAUAACUGGAUGGAUUGUUGUUGCAAUCGCUCUCUGUCUUUUAAGUGUCCGGAAGAACAAUCUGGAAAUGCUUCUUACACGUCUGCGAGGGAACAUUUUGUUCUUCCGUCCUCGCUGUCGUUUACUUUUCCUUGACAUCU
rnacentral:snoRNA from 1 species